rnacentral:rRNA from 1 species
AUUGAACGCUGGCGGCAGGCCUAACACAUGCAAGUCGAGCGAGCGGCGGACGGGUGAGUAAUGUCUGGGAAACUGCCUGAUGGAGGGGGAUAACUACUGGAAACGGUAGCUAAUACCGCAUACCAUCAGAUGUGCCCAGAUGGGAUUAGCUAGUAGGUGGGGUAAUGGCUCACCUAGGCGACGAUCCCUAGCUGGGCUGAGAGGAUGACCAGCAACACUGGAGCGGAGAAACGUUCCAGACUCCGACGGGAGGGAGCAGUGGGGAAGAUUGCACAAGGGGCGCAAGCCUGAUGCAGCCAGGGCGCGGGUGGGAAGAAGGCCUUCGGGUUGUAAAGCACUUUCAGCGGGGAGGCGUUACCCGCAGAAGAAGCACCGGCUAACUCCGUGCCAGCAGCCGCGGUAAUUC